GCUACCGUCAAGGAAAACCGAGCACUCAAGCAGUCUUUCAAUGACAUUCAGUUAACGGAGAACGUAGUUUGAAGCUUAAACGCAUUGAGGAAAUGACAAUGCAACAGUUCCAGAGGGAAAGUCAGGUUCACGAACAAAAAGGUUACACCGAUUAAGGAAUGUCGGGUUUUCAAAAUUCAGUGGUGAAGAUGUGGGGGAUGAAUCUACUUCUAGACUGUAGAUGAAAUGCCGUACACUUUCAAGCUAAGUCGUGUUAAUAUAAUUGGCGUGGUAUUUUGUGCAUAAUGGAAAAGUUCGAGGGUCAGUUCUGGACGGUUGUAAUUUUGAAAGCAGCUGUGUUGGAAGCUCGAAACUUGAGGGAUUGGAUGCUAGUUGUUCUAUAGUUCAAGGGUUAACGAGAAAAACUGCUGUAUCAACUGUAAAAUCAUAUACCAAUUUCAAGUACAAAAAACCAAUGCAAGAAACUCAUCACAUUGUGACAUAACACAAAAAUUACAAACUUGUAGACCAGAAAACAAAACAAGUUUAAACUCAAAAAAGCAUAAAUAAAGUGCAGAAAAUAUAAAGCCAGAUGUAACCCUAUGACAUGGAUCAUAGAUGACG
rnacentral:lncRNA from 1 species